rfam:Clonorchis sinensis DNA, scaffold: 362, strain: Henan.
CCCGUGAUAGCUCAGUUGGUAGAGCGGAGGACUGUAGAUGAUGCAGUGAUCCUUAGGUCGGUGGUUCGAAUCCGCCUCACGGGA